UUGGCCUGAGAGCUACCAAUAUAGAUAAUAAACCAUCUGUGUUACUUACAGAGUAAUUAUGGAAACAGCUGUGAGACCACAAAAUACUCCUGCAGAAGUCAAUGGCUUGCAAUCAAGCUGUGAUACUCAUGAAGUCAUAGGAAAGGGAACACGUCACUGUCAAUAUAAUUCAUGUCAAGUCAUUAGCCAGGUGCUGCACAAAACUGCUGAAGAAAUUUGCUCUGGGAGCAGACCCUGGGGACCCUGAGCAGCUGCUGGUGAAGUGACAGCAAUGCAUGCAGCGUGGCAUCUGUGAGAAGGUGGGGAAGGAAGGAGGAGGCAGCAUGUUUUGCAAAUGUAACAAAGCAGCAGUUGGUCCUCCAGACAGCUUCAGGAAGCAGAGCAGCAGGCGGCAUAGCCGGGGGCCACCCAGGAGAGCGGAGUGGCACCAGGCACCGAGCCCCCGGCGCUCAGCGACCCUCAGUGCCGGGGUGACACUCGGGGGGGGGUUCAGGUGGGAUGUGAGGGCUUUGUUUCUGCUUGUGAUAAAUGCUUCACUAACAAAUUGGCAACAAUAGGAUAGGAUAGCAUAGCAUAGGAUAUCCAUAGGGAUAGGGUGGGANNNNNNNNNNNNNNNNNNNNNGGGAUGGGAUGGGAUGGGAUGGGAUGGGAUGGGAUGGGAUGGGAUGGGAUGGGAUGGGAUGGGAUGGGAUGGGAUGGGAUGGGAUGGGAUGGGAUAGCAGCGCUGUGCACAGAAGUACAGAGAAGAGCUGAUAAGCUAAAAAAGGGUGUCUAGACAAAGGCAGAUCUUUAUUAAUGACACCUCAGCUCCUGAACUACUGACUUGCCCCACAUGUGACUCUAAACAAGAACUAAAUGUUCUAACACAGUCGAAGAGCAGCCCAUUUUCCAGAUCUUUUGGAAAAAUCCCAGAGGUAAAAGCCUGAGGAGAGUGAGAAGGAUAAUGCUGAUGCCCAUACCUCCUUGGAGCUGCUGCUUCUCUGGCUGCUCAUUAUUUCUCUUUCACCUGUCGUGUUCUCAGAUGGUGGGUAAUGGGAAGGCUGUAGAGAGGCUAUUAACAAAUGACAGGUGAGUCUUUCACAUAACCUUUAAACGAAAAAGCCUGAAAGAAAAGAACUUAUAAGAAAAAGGUGGGGAGUGGUGUGCACAUUCUUCAGGAAUAGCUGCCGAAUGAAGCAGUUCUGCUUUGCAGGAUCAGUCUGCAUCCCCUGGCAUAUUCCUUCCUACAGAGAGCUGGGAGAAACUUAAAAUCCAAGGAAGGGGAGAGCUAUCUUCAUCUGGAGGGAUGUCAUCUGUGUCAAUAGCCUGCACUCCUGCUGCCAGGAUCACAGGGCAUCCACACAACCGCCUGCUGCUUAGCUCCACGAUGGGGUCCCAACGCGUGUGGCCGCUGCACCUGCUCACGGUGCAUCGCAGCCCAUGGUGGUGCCACGACCUUUGUGAGGAUGGCCAUUUCUCCGGUACCAUUGUUUACCUUUCCAUGGUAAACCUGGCUUUGCAAAGCACUUUAACAGGUUCCACCACAGAGAAGUGAUUGCACAACUCCAGCAGGGCAUU
rnacentral:lncRNA from 1 species